CGGAAUUAUUGGGCGUAAAGGGCUCGUAGGCGGUUCGUCGCGUCCGGUGUGAAAGUCCAUCGCUUAACGGUGGAUCCGCGCCGGGUACGGGCGGGCUUGAGUGCGGUAGGGGAGACUGGAAUUCCCGGUGUAACGGUGGAAUGUGUAGAUAUCGGGAAGAACACCAAUGGCGAAGGCAGGUCUCUGGGCCGUUACUGACGCUGAGGAGCGAAAGCGUGGGGAGCGAACAGGAUUAGAUACCCUGGUAGUCCACGCCGUAAACGGUGGAUGCUGGAUGUGGGGCCCGUUCCACGGGUUCCGUGUCGGAGCUAACGCGUUAAGCAUCCCGCCUUGGGAGUACAGCCGCAAGGCUAAAACUCAAAGAAAUUGACGGGGGCCCGCACAAGCGGCGGAGCAUGCGGAUUAAUUCGAUGCAACGCGAAGAACCUUACCUGGGCUUGACAUGUUCCCGACGGUCGUAGAGAUGCGGCUUCCCUUCGGGGCGGGUUCACAGGUGGUGCAUGGUCGUCGUCAGCUCGUGUCGUGAGAUGUUGGGUUAAGUCCCGCAACGAGCGCAACCCUCGCCCCGUGUUGCCAGCGGAUUAUGCCGGGAACUCACGGGGGACCGCCGGGGUUAACUCGGAGGAAGGUGGGGAUGACGUCAGAUCAUCAUGCCCCUUACGUCCAGGGCUUCACGCAUGCUACAAUGGCCGGUACAACGGGAUGCGACGCGGCGACGCGGAGCGGAUCCCUGAAAACCGGUCUCAGUUCGGAUCGCAGUCUGCAACUCGACUGCGUGAAGGCGGAGUCGCUAGUAAUCGCGA
rnacentral:rRNA from 1 species